GCACAUUCCGGGACGAUACCGCAUAUGUGCGAAUGUGCGAUUACUUAUCAAUCCCGACCCCAUUUGCCUCGUCUCCUUUCUUCUUCUUAUUAAAAGCCAUUUUGGUUACGGAUGGAUAUGAGAAGAAAAAUUUAGAGCCUUGCGUGCCCACACCGCCCUUGACCACACCCCACCACCAACCGCCCUCCCCUUGGCGAUCCCCACACACUUGCCCAACCAACCACACUUGUCCCACGCCUCUCCUCCUCCUCUCCUCUCGCCUUGUACGAGUCUCACCUUGCUGCGUCCAUCCACCCACCGACCAUCCACCACUUCCCCCAAAGUCUCCUCCUUUCUCCCUUCUCAGCCAAGCAACCAAGCGAUCUCGCCGAUGAAGAGGGAGGGGUUCCAGCACGGCGCCGUCCGGGUCAACCGCAACAAGCUGCUGCGGGUCGCCGGCGGCACCAACGGCGACGCGGCGGCCGCGGCGCUGGAGCUCGCCGGCGUCGCCUACGCCAGGGCGCCGUCCAAGCCGACCAACGCGUCCAGGGACACGGGCCGGUGCCGGCGGCCCCGGUGCGCCGGCUGCCACGUGCACCCCGCCGCCAAGGCCCGGGACAAGGCCAAGGGCGCCCACAAGCUGCGCGCCUCCGACGUCGCGCUCAACCACCGCCUCGUCUCCUGGCGCCUCGUCGACGGGGACCCCGCCGCCGCCGCCGCCCGCACCGGCGGCGUGCCCGACUACAAGGGCGCCUCCGCGUCCGCCGUGCUCGCCUACCUCGCCGGCGGCAACAGCUGGCACGCCGAGGACGAGGAGGAGGACGAUGACGGCGCAGAUCUUCAGGCCCCCCCAAGGGGGAUCUCCGACCUGUACGACCUCAUCGUCGGCCUCCAGGCCCGCGCGGCCCCUGCGCCGGGCGGCCCAGAAGACGACGCCGAUGGCACGGCAGCAGUAACACCCAGCGAUGAAAUCGAGGAGCACGAUGCUGAAAUCACUGACGACGCCGACGAGGAGGAGGAGGACGACGACGGGUUCUGCGUGGUGCAGGGCAUCACCAUCGCGCUCGAGUUCUCCGACGGGGAGGAGGACUGGAUCGUGGUCUGAUCUCAUUCAGUUUGCAAAUAAUAAGACGUGCAACAGAGGUCAGCCGUCCGCAUCCCUCCGCCUCUGCUGCCGCUGCGCAAUUCCCUUCCAUCCGCAUCUGCUCUGUUCCUGUUAAUUGAUGAUCGUGUCCCUGUGUGUAUACUGCUCUGUUGUCAUGUUAAUUGGUCGUGUCCCUGUGUAUAUAUCUGGUGACUGUCUGUCUAAUUUGUCAAAAAUUCAUGGAUUAUCAUGACCUGAAUCUAUCAAUCAUGUGUGAAUAAAAUUAAUGAAGAAGUUAUUCAUUCCUCUUCAGACCCUGUUUCUUUCUUUCUGAUUUACGAAUGGAUGGAUACACUUUAUGAAUAAAAUGUGUGGAUGUGGAUUCAUCUGAAUGCUUAUUUCUUCAGACCAUGACAAAAUUAGUGUGUGGAUGUGUCUUUCUGGACGUGCACUUUUAAUUGAUUUCCUUCUUGAUAGAGAGACUACAUGAUGAUCUGAAUGGCUGAUCGGCUUUCGGUUUGUGAUGAAAUCUGGUGAAUUCAGUUCUUGAUGUGGCCAUGUUCUGUAGAGAAUGCUGGAUGCAAGCCGUGUGGUUAGAGCAUCUCCAGCCCUUCCCUCAAAUCUUUAUAACAAGAGGCAAAUUGUGUCCGGAAUUUUUCUGUGAGCGACCCAUUUGCCUUCACCAUCCGAUGUUAGUUUCAAUGGUGGGUCGUGAUACCAAAGCAACAGUUUCGAUGCGAAUGUUCCGUCGGGUUUUGGGGACGUGUUCUUGUUGGUCAGUAUCGGUCAUUGGCUGUUUUACCUUGACACCUCUGGUGAACUGGUUGCUAGCUUCCAAGACUCAUGUGCCUGUAAGCAUCGGCUCAAACAAACUCUUGUUCCGCAUGGUUUCUUCACGGCACCAGAAUGUUGUGCUGUGGACGCUUGGCCAUUCAUCUGACGUGUUGAGUGAGGCGGUGCUUCCUAACAGCCUAGUUUUCGUAUCCUCAUGAGCUGCAAUUUCUAUGAUCUCUUCCUUUAGGUGUUGAUCAGAGGUGACUGUUACGUUGUUGAGAUGGAAGCUAUGCUUUUUUUGAUAACCUUUUGUGGCUACUGCCUGUGUUGAUGCCAAAAUUACCAAGCUGUUUUGCUCUGCUUCUGAAAUAUCUGCCAGCUGAUCCGCCUCAUGGCCUCUGCUUCAUUCCGUUUAUUAAGUGGUCUUCUUGAUGUUUAUCAAUCUUUAUGCCUCGUAUCACUACUUGUUGAACUGGAGAAUUGAUUCGACCGCUUGAUCAGUGGUUUUCGUAACUGUCGAGUUUCAGCGUGUUUCCUGUUUUCACCCUUUUGUUGUAGCACAAUGAGAAGAUGCAGAUUAUUCCCCGUGCUGGGUUGCAAGCUGCACCUGACUUGUAGAAUAAGUACCUUGGAGCACUCCUUACUGAAUUUAAUUCUUGCACGAUGCAUCAUAUCCAACUUCUCAAUGAAGUUCUCUUUUAUAAUUCAGUUAUCUUCAUGCAUCUACCACCGUGAAUGUUGAUUGUCUGUGUUGCUG
rnacentral:rRNA from 1 species